AUUUUUAUUUUUGGGGGGAUUGAAAUGUGAAACCAUGUUUUAUUGUAGUUAACAAAAACUGGAGAUUUGAUAUUGAAAUGUAAUAAUGAAAUGCAUGCAUAUUUACUUCUGUAUCUGCUUAAAAUAGCAAUUCACAUUAACAGACUAGAGAUUUUUAUUACGUGCAGAACUCGCAGUGGAUUUGACAGAUGCUGUUUUGUGGGGGUGGUGGGAUGGGAUUGUUCUGUUGAUGCCCUUUUAAUAGGCACAGUGUGGGACACAUGGUAUAGUUGCCCUUGGCAUGUCCAACCCCCCUGAUCCGGACCACCCUCUAAACUCAUCUCAGUCUCUCACCAAGGGAGUUAGUGGAGAGGAUUAAUACUCUGGAUAUAACCAAAAGACAGAUGUAGGGGAGAAAAGACCACAAGAGGAGAAUCAAUGGGAGUUUGUUUAGACUGAAUGACAAUUUGCAUUUUCAUUAUAUAGAAAAUUCUUCAGACAACAGCUGUUCUUGCUGCUUUGCCUUGGGAAAUUGGUUGGGGUUCAUCUUAAAGCAUUUUGACAAAAGAAAGACUCGACAAAAUCAGUUAUGACUUCUAGCUAAAAAAAAGACAAGUGUCCAGGAGAAUAUUUGAAAGAAACCAGUGCACUUUAGUUGUUCAGCCCUGGAGAUGCAUACAGAUGAGAGAUCCUGCUUCAAAUAGUGGAGUUCACGUUCUGAAGCUACCUCUUUGAAAAUGCAUGAUGUUAUUUCAGAAGCUGAAGAUGAAGUGAGAGCUGUGGUGUUCCUUGGUAAUCAUGCCUGCUGAGGAGGAGGAGGAGAACUCUGCACAACCUGUGUGGCAGUCCAUCCUACUCUUUGGCUGUAAGGGAAUGAUCGAGGGAAUCAUCGUCCUCUUGUUUCUCUGGCUGCUGUUGCAGUCCACUUGCAGAUUCUGCUGAGUGUGGGCUUGGUGGUUCUGUGUUUUUCCCUUAUACUGGGAUGCAUCAUUUGUUGGUUAAAGACCAGACACAAACCACUCAAAGACAAAAAUACUGUGAGGACACCCCCUCCUCCUGAUUCUGCGGAUCAUGCGACUGUGGCUUUGAGUCCUGUCCUUUUAUCUGGAACCACAAUUACCAAAUUACAGUACGAGGCGCAGGAAGGAUCAGUUCAAGACUAUCCACCUGCUUUUGUGAGCUCUACACCAUCAGAUGAAGAGUUGACUGCUGUCUCUGAGGUUAACAAGUCAUGCUUCCCAAUGAGACGACUCAGUUCUCCAACCUCUUCUUUAUACAAGCCUAUGGCCAGUGGCCGCUCCUCUCUCCCCUCUCUCCCAAGACUUAGUCUUCUCUCAAACACCUGGAAUGUUCUGGAACGGCACUGCACUGUGGCUGGAGAUAGUUACUCAUUUAGCGAACACAGAAGGCUCACUAUUCCCAACCCUCGAUCACCCUGUGCCCUUUCUCCACUUCAAACCCAAGGUCUACUACAGGACGAAACUUUAUUUCCUAACUAUGGUUCAAAUUCUUGAAGUGAGACCUCACAUCCCUUCUUGCACUUUACCCUGACCUUCUCUUCAACACAGAACACACUCACUGUAUCCUUAGCGGGUUUAACCGGUGUAAUCCAUCGUCUUGAAGAAGUGACUGUCCAGGCCAGGCUGCCCCCAGUUUGCCCUGGACCUCUGGAUAUAUCUGCUCAAGAUUACAACCUUAGCUCUGGACUCUAUAAAAAGAACUUGGUGAUCAAUGUC
ensembl:lncRNA